rnacentral:rRNA from 1 species
GACGGAGGGUGCUAGCGUUGUUCGGAAUCACUGGGCGUAAAGGGCGCGUAGGCGGCCUUGCAAGUCGGUUGGUGAAAGCCCGGGGCUCAACCCCGGAGGUGCGGCCGAGACUGCAGGGCUGGAGGCCGGAAGAGGAGGGUGGAAUACCCAGUGUAGAGGUGAAAUGCGUAGAGAUGUGGAGGAACACCAGUGGCGAAGGCGACUCUUUGGCCUGUAACUGACGCUGAGGCGCGAAAGCGUGGGGAGCAAACAGG